rnacentral:rRNA from 2 species
UACGUAGGGAGCAAGCGUUGUCCGGAAUCAUUGGGCGUAAAGCGCGCGUAGGCGGCUCGAUAAGUCUGUUGUGAAAGUCAAAGGCUCAACCUUUGAAUGCCGAUGGAUACUGUCGAGCUAGAGUCCGGAAGAGGCGGGUGGAAUUCCUGGUGUAGCGGUGGAAUGCGCAGAUAUCAGGAGGAACACCAACGGCGAAGGCAGCCCGCUGGGACGGUACUGACGCUAAGGCGCGAAAGCGUGGGGAGCGAACAGG